GAGUUUGAUCAUGGCUCAGAACGUACGCUGGCGGCACGCCUAACACAUGCAAGUCGAACGCAGUAGCAAUACUGAGUGGCAAACGGGUGAGUAUAAUGUGGGAAUCUGCCUUUUGGUUUGGAAUAACACGGGGAAACUUGUGCUAAUACCGGAUAAGCCCUUACGGGGAAAGUUUUAACGCCGAAAGAUGAGCCUGCACUUGAUUAGCUAGUUGGUAAGGUAAAAGCUUACCAAGGCAACGAUCAAUAGCUGUUCUUAGAGGAAGACCAGCC
rnacentral:rRNA from 1 species